GAGCAGUUUUCCGCCUGCGCAGGGCAAAGUCCCUGAUUGAGGUGCCGCCAUUUUUGCUGCCCAGCAGCGGAGCGACAGUCAGAGACACUAUCCGCUUACAUCCGUCUCGCAGACCCUGUAAGAGCGGCUGCUGCUGUGGAUGAUCGAGGGGAUUUGGUACCAGGCAAAGCUGGCCAAGCAGGCUGCGCAAUACAGCGUGCUCUGGAACUGAACCCGCAGUAUCGUCCAAGAAAUGGUGUAAUCAAUGAAGAAAGUAGCAGGGAUGGAUGUGGAACUGACAGUUGAAGAAAUAAACCUCCUAUCUAUUGCAUAUAAGAAUGUGAUUGGAGCUAGAAGAGCCUCCUGGAGAAUAAUCAGCAGCAUUGAACAGAAAGAAGAAAAAGAAGGAGAAGACAAGCUAAAAAUGAUUUGGGAAUAUCGGCAAAUGAUUGAGACUGAGCUAAAGUUACUCUGCUGUGACGUUCUGGAUGUACUGGACAAAAACCUCAUUCCAGCAGCUAACACUGGCGAGUCCAAAGUUUUCCAUUAUAAAAUGAAAGGGGACUACCACAGGUAUCUGGCAGAAUUUGCCACAGGAAAUGACAGGAAGGAGGCUGUGGAGAACAGCCUAGCGGCUUAUAAAGCUGCUAGUGAUAUUGCAAUGACAGAACUUCCACCAACGCAUCCUAUUCACUUAGGUCUUGCUCUCAAUUUUUCUGUAUUCUACUACGAAAUUCUUAAUUCCCCUGACUAUGCCUGCAGGUUGGCAAAAGCAGCUUUUGAUGACACAGUUGCAGAACUGGAUAUGCUGAGUGAAGAAAGCUAUAAGGACACUAUGGACUUCGGGCAUGCAGGGUGAUGAUGAAGAACAGAAUAAAGAAGCGCUGCAGGACGUGGAAGAUGAAAAUCAGUGAGACAUAAAAACCAACAAGAGAAACCAUCCCUGACCACCCCACUCUUCCCCAUCCCGUCCCUUGGAAACUCCCCAUUGUCCCUAAGAACCGCCAAAUCUGACUUUUACAUUUGGCCUCAGAAUUUAGGUUCCUGCCCUGCUUUUUUGUUUGUUUUUGUUUUUUUAACAGUUUUCAAAAAUUCUUAAAGGCAAGAGUGAAUUUCUGUGGAUUUUACUGGUCCCAACUUUUAGGUUCUUUAAGACACUAACAGGACUGCAUAGAGGCUUUUUCAGCAUUACUGUAUUGUCCCCGUGCCAGAUGUGGCAAGAUUACCAUUAGAAAUGGAAAUUACGUUUGAAAGCCAUUAGGUGAUGCUUCUAGAUGACGCAAGCGUCUAAGGAAGAUGUUAAUCACACUAUAGAGGCAUAAGUGGUAUCAUUUUUCGUUUUUCUAAUUGUUUAAACCGUAUUUUAUACCAAUGUUUGAAAGUAAUUCGGUGUUAGCUUGACAUGGUUAAAGAUUGUUUGGGGAGGGAGUUUUGAAAUGGUUUUGCUGUAAAAAGUUUUUCAAACUCUACAGAAAUGUUGCUGAAAAGCAUGGUGCUAAUAACAGUUCAACAAUCGUGGCUGCUCAUUCUUGCCUACUUUUACUCUCCCACUGAAGCGGGUUAGGGUUGCAGGUGGUGUGGAAAAGCCUGCAUGCAUGUUCAAUUAUUUGUUUCUACUCCUUCUCCCUCCCCCUACCUGCUUCCCCUCACUCCUCCCCUCUGCUAGCUCAAUCACUUCUGUUCAGUAUAUGUAACUUGAAGCUAAUUUGUACUACUGGAUAUCUGACUGGAGCCACAGAUACAGAAUCUGUAUUGUUCUUACUGAAACACAGCAUGGAAUUAACAUUAAACUUAAAUAAAACAAACCUAAAU